CGCAAUGGGCGAAAGCCUGACGGAGCAAUACCGCGUGAGGGAUGACUGCCUAUGGGUUGUAAACCUCUUUUUUCAGGGAGGAAUAAAUGACGUGUACCUGAAGAAUAAGCAUCGGCUAACUCCGUGCCAGCAGCCGCGGUAAGACGGAGGAUGCAAGUGUUAUCCGGAAUCACUGGGCGUAAAGCGUCUGUAGGUGGCUUGACAAGUCAACUGUUAAAUCUUGAAGCUCAACUUUAAAAUCGCCGUGGAAACCAUCGGACUAGAGUAUAGUGGAGGUAAAGGGAAUUUCCAGUGGAGCGGUGAAAUGCCUAGAGAUUGGAAAGAACACCGAUGGGGAGGGCACUUUACUGGGCUAUUUCGGACAAUAAGAGACGAAAGCUA
rnacentral:rRNA from 1 species